GAUGAACGCUAGCGGGAGGCCUAACACAUGCAAGCCGAGCGGUAUUGUUUCUUCGGAAAUGAGAGAGCGGCGUACGGGUGCGGAACACGUGUGCAACCUGCCUUUAUCUGGGGGAUAGCCUUUCGAAAGGAAGAUUAAUACUCCAUAACAUAUUGAUUGGCAUCAAUUAAUAUUGAAAGCUCCGGCGGAUAGAGAUGGGCACGCGCAAGAUUAGCUAGUUGGUGAGGUAACGGCUCACCAAGGCGAUGAUCUUUAGGGGGCCUGAGAGGGUGAUCCCCCACACUGGUACUGAGACACGGACCAGACUCCUACGGGAGGCAGCAGUGAGGAAUAUUGGUCAAUGGGUGCAAGCCUGAACCAGCCAUCCCGCGUGAAGGACGACUGCCCUAUGGGUUGUAAACUUCUUUUGUAUAGGGAUAAACCUACCCUCGUGAGGGUAGCUGAAGGUACUAUACGAAUAAGCACCGGCUAACUCCGUGCCAGCAGCCGCGGUAAUACGGAGGGUGCAAGCGUUAUCCGGAUUUAUUGGGUUUAAAGGGUCCGUAGGCGGACUUAUAAGUCAGUGGUGAAAGCCUGUCGCUUAACGAUAGAACUGCCAUUGAUACUGUAAGUCUUGAGUAUAUUUGAGGUAGCUGGAAUAAGUAGUGUAGCGGUGAAAUGCAUAGAUAUUACUUAGAACACCAAUUGCGAAGGCAGGUUACCAAGAUAUAACUGACGCUGAGGGACGAAAGCGUGGGGAGCGAACAGGAUUAGAUACCCUGGUAGUCCACGCCGUAAACGAUGCUAACUCGUUUUUGGGCUUUAGGGUUCAGAGACCAAGCGAAAGUGAUAAGUUAGCCACCUGGGGAGUACGCUCGCAAGAGUGAAACUCAAAGGAAUUGACGAGGGCCCGCACAAGCGGUGGAUUAUGUGGUUUAAUUCGAUGAUACGCGAGGAACCUUACCAAGACUUAAAUGGGAAUUGACAGCUUUAGAAAUAGAGCUUUCUUCGGACAAUUUUCAAGGUGCUGCAUGGUUGUCGUCAGCUCGUGCCGUGAGGUGUUAGGUUAAGUCCUGCAACGAGCGCAACCCCUGUCACUAGUUGCCAUCAUUCAGUUGGGGACUCUAGUGAGACUGCCUACGCAAGUAGAGAGGAAGGUGGGGAUGACGUCAAAUCAUCACGGCCCUUACGUCUUGGGCCACACACGUAAUACAAUGGCCGGUACAGAGGGCAGCUACACAGCGAUGUGAUGCAAAUCUCGAAAGCCGGUCUCAGUUCGGAUUGGAGUCUGCAACUCGACUCUAUGAAGCUGGAAUCGCUAGUAAUCGCGCAUCAGCCAUGGCGCGGUGAAUACGUUCCCGGGCCU
rnacentral:rRNA from 1 species